rnacentral:lncRNA from 1 species
UCACUGCUCGGUGGGUGAGGUUUGCAGCGUGUGAUAAAUUGCUGCCUCACAUCUGAAAGCCUCAUGGGUUUGCUUUGGGUCUUUAUUUUUUUUUCAAGUGAGUUUGGAGUGAUGUUUACAUGCAAACCGUGAUUGCAGACAUUAAAUCACUUUCCAGCUCGGGCUGUUGAGCGGAUGGUUGGGGGGGGGGGGGGGGGGGGGGAGAAAAAAACAUAGCAGGGACGUGGGUUUUUCUUCACACAGAGGAUGCUCUUUUCACAUGGGCAGCAAAAGGCAGAGAUGCACGCAAGUGGAAAUAAAUAAGGAUAUGAUUACUAAAGUGCUUUGUUUGCCACUCUGCCACAUAAAUAAUAAUAAUAUACAACAAUAAUAGCACAAUAGUGCCAGAUACCAGGGGGAUUAAACAUCAAAUUAAUAUUUAGCGUGGUUUGGAUUAAGCAGAAAUAACAGCUUUAUGAUUAGAGUCUGAAAUUGCUGCUAAUAAUGACUGAUUAUGCUGCUGCAGAGGAAGAAUUAUAAGCACUCGGGGACACGUAACCUUCCCAAAGUCAUUAGCAGAAAAGUGCUGAGAGGACCGAUGAACUGCCUGCUCCCAUGGGGCUGCCUGUGCAAUGGGCAGAGGAGCGAGGUUCCUGUGCAGCCCCUGCUAGAAACAAUGCACGUCCGGGUGCUGCCAGAGCACGGGGAGGGAAAUGUUCAUCGUGACGGUGCUCUGGAGGACCCAGGUGGGGAAGAGGAGAAAGGAGAAAGUGCCACAAAGUCCCCCUCUGCUCACAGCUGUGGGUUUAUCUGCGGGCUUAGCACAUCACACAGCUUAAAGCAAUGGAGCACAUCGCUGAUUCCACUGGCAGAAAACACUCUGCUUCCAGUAAACCUUUGUAAGCACUCAGCUGAUAACAAAAAUUAAAAACAAGCAUCCCUCUGGAAACGUGGCAAGUAGCUUCAUAAGCUGAUGUGUGUCUGUUACUGCAGCAAUUAACGUUCUCCUUUUUAUUAUCUACUGUAAGCUAGCCAGUCAAUAAUGUCAGCAAUGACAGGUUGUUAUAACUGCAAUGCAUUUUUUCCCGGUAUAUGUGCUGAUAUUUUAUUUAAACAGAUCUGCUUUUGUGCCAUUCUGACUCAAGGAAGGUCAAAGAUAUGGAGAUUUAUGAGUGCCAAUUAUGUGUAUUAAUACUUAAUCAGACUCUGAGAGAAAUCAUUACUAUCUGCUUACUGCUUCCAUAUGAAGUGUAGCCGCGAGACCCAGCCAGCAGGAUAGGAAGUCAGGAAUUUUGGGAGGCAGGAACCAAGGCAGUGCCAGGCUCAUGCUGUAAGUGCUGCAUGGGCAAACCUACCUGCAGAAAACAGAGCGUAGCACUGCGUCUGCAAAUGCAAUCAGCAGGUGCUCAGAUUGCUCACGUACAAGGAAAUAAACGUGGGGUCUGAACCA